rnacentral:antisense_RNA from 1 species
CUUCAACGAGCCCAACCACAAAGGCCGUUCGGGAUCCCUGCCCUGCCCGUAGGUCGCCAGCAGGGCCUGCGCCUC